rnacentral:rRNA from 1 species
GUGUCAGCCGCCGCGGUAAGACGGACCACACAAACGUUAUUCGGAAUUACUGGGCUUAAAGGGUGCGUAGGCUGUGCAGUAAGUUGGGUGUGAAAUCCCUCGGCUUAACCGAGGAAUUGCGCCCAAAACUACUGUGCUUGAGGAAGACAGAGGUAAGCGGAACUUAGGGUGGAGCGGUGAAAUGCGUUGAUAUCCUAAGGAACACCGGUGGCGAAAGCGGCUUACUGGGUCUUUUCUGACGCUGAGGCACGAAAGCUAGGGUAGCGAACGGGAUUAGAAACCCGUGUAGUCC